rnacentral:lncRNA from 1 species
CCGACGAACCUUGCCACUCAAUCCGUGGCACUCCCGGCAUAGCCAACAUCACUGUCUUAGUGUGACAAUCUAGAAUAGAAUGAUAUGAAGACAACCAAACCAUGCCUAAUAUCACAUCAAAGUCAACCAUAAUAAGCAGCGACAUAUCCACUCUAGUUGCUAGUCCCCUAAUAGUAAUUACAAAUGAUUGACAUACAUGGUCUACAACAACAGUAUUGCCCACCGAUGAAGAUACAUGAACAGAUAAAAUAAGAGACUCGCGGGGCAUACCCAAAUAAUGAUCAAAAUACGAUGACACAUAUGAAAAAGUGAAAUCAUGAUAAAGUAAUAUAAAGGCAUCCUUGUUCAAAAUUGAGAUAAUACUUGUAGCAUAACAUUUGAAGUACUAGCAUCCGGUCUAGCAGGGAUUGCAUAGAAACGGGCCUGACCGCCACCUAGCUGACUGACUUCUACCACGAGCUUGCUAGGUGGGUGGUGAACAAACUGGUAUUAAAGACGAAUGCUGACUUCUCUAUUGGGAUGAACCUCUUGUAAGGUGGGGACAGAACCUCUUGAUAUGACCCAAAUCUCCACACUCAAAGCAACCUCUAGCGUCCACUAACAAUGGGGACUGAAGGGAGUCCCGAGCACCAGGAUACCCCCUAGAAGGACCAUGCAUAGAUGAUCCCUGAGCUGAUGGUGCAUGAGACGGACUUUGAGCUGGAAGGGAACUAAGAUAUGAGUGGCCGACUGAGAACUGUGAGAACCAUGGCCAAAUGAUGUACCAUGGUGCACUAGACGAGCCAUCUGAGCAUGCCUGUAGGGACACCCGUGCGGUGGUGAAACUGACCUCUAGAAGGAACACCACCAAAAUGCAUAGAUCCCCGAGGCCUCUUGGCCUCCCUCUAACUCGCUCCUUACGCUGAACCGACUCUAUAUCCCGAGAAAUGUCAACAACUUCUUAAAAAGAAUCACCAUGCACCCUCUCUCUAGUCGAAAGAUCUGCAACUGAUAUGUGAGGCCAUCAAUGAACUUCCUGAUCCUCUCCCUAUCUAUAGGAACCAACCAGAUAGCAUUACGGGUCAACUCAGAGAAUCUCAUCUCAUAUUGUGGCACAGUCAUAUCAUCCUGAGCAACUGCUCAAACUACCUGUGUAGCUCCUCUUUGAGGGACGGCGGUACAUACUUCUCCAGGAAGAGAAUAGAGAAUUGCUUCCAUGUAAGGGGCGCUGCACCAACCGGCCUACGCCUCUCAUAAGCCUUCCACCAACUGAAGGCAGCUCCAGAGAACUGAAAAGUAGUGAAUGAGACCCCACUAGUCUCUAAAAUACAUUAUGUAUGGAGAAUCCUCUAACACUUAUCCAAAAACCCUAGGCAUCCUCGCCAUAUGAACCACUGAGAGUCGGAGGCUGAAGUCUACCAAAUCUCUCCAAUCUACGCUACUCAUCAUCAGGCAUGACAGGAACCACAAAGUCCUGAGCAGCUGCAACUGGUUGGGAUAGUGGUGCCCCCGAUGUCUAAAGUUCCUACACCACAUGAUUAGGUGCGGACGGCGUGAGUCUGAGCACCUCCCCCGGCCCGAGAAGUAGUUGCUGCAGCCAGAAUAAAGACCACUUGAGCAAGGCCGGUGCACAUGGCCAAAUCUAAGCUAGGGCCUCCUAAAGGCCUGGGAUAACAAUUGACGCGGAUUGUGCCUGAGCUGGUCGUACUGGUACAUCUAUAAUCGGAACCCGAUCCUAGACUAGGGCAACAGGUAGAUUUGUAGGUGGCGCCCUGGCUGCUGAGCGAGUUGCACCUCUGCCCCUGCCAUGGUCUCUACCGCGACCUUGGACUUUCGUGGCCCCAAUUGGUAGUACUGGUGGUUGUCCGUCCUAACCGGUAACACGUGUUCAUCUAUGAGAGAAUAGAAUUACAGAAGUUUAGUUACCAGAAUGAAUAGAUUCACACGACAAGAAUUCAAGAAUGUGAAGUUACCUAAGGGUUCUGCAGCUUCUCGAAGAUAGGUACAAACAUCUCCGUACCGAUUCAAAAGACUACUAAACCCGCUCAUGACUCGUGAGAUCUAUGUAACUUAGGCUCUGAUACGAACUUGUCAUGACCAAAAACUCGACCUGUUGUGAUGGCGCAUAUCGUAUAUCUAGGCCAGCCUCAACUAAAUAAUCCAACACCAGAAAAUAUUUUAAAUAAUAAAUAUAGAAGCGACAAUCCAUUAAGGAACAUUUUCGAAAACCAAAAUAAAAUCCAAAUUUCGUUAAAGUUGCCCAAAAUCAGGGUAUCUGAGUUCAUGAGCAUUUAGAGGAGAACAUAGUUUGUUACAAGGUUUAAAGAAAAUAGACUAAAUUACAUCUAGUGAUAAAGAGGGAACUCAAUGCCUGCGGACGUUGUGCAAAUACCUCAAUAGUGUCCUAUGCCUGUAGCCUCGAUCAGCGACUGCCACUUGGACCAAAAGUGCACGGAUCUACACACAAGGUGCAUUGGGUAACGUGAAUACACCAACUCAAUAAGUAACGAGUCCAAACUAUGGAGUGAAAGGUAGUGACAAACUCAACCUCAACAGAUAUAAUAGAAACAACCUACAAAAAUGUAGGCAUGCUUUCAGUUAAAUAGACAACUCAAAGAAAUAAGGUAAAUACAUAUCUAAAUUGUUUAAGAUGUAUAGCUCAAUUGCCUCUACAUGCUAAUGCACCAACUUUAUGAAAUACACAAUGUACUCCCACUAUCAAGUUCUCAACCACUCGAUACUGAAUAUAGCCAUCCAGCCUAGGGUAAUCCAUCUUAAAACAUAUACAACAAUGACUGUGAGUCACUUAGUACCAAGAAAAAAGGCAAUCCAACCCUGAAGAGAAAUCCAUCUCCAGGUAUAUAGAAAAAUACUCAACCAAUCGGUACCGUGUAUGGCUAUCCGACCCAGGGAAAUCCAUCCCGUAACAUACUCAUAACUGACUAUAAGUCACCCGAUAUAAAAAAAAGGAUAAUCCAACCCUAUGGAGAAAUCCUUCUCUAGAUUUCAAUACUUCGUACAAAUCCACGUCAGGGAAAUACAUCCCAUAAUAAUAUCAUCAGGCCUACUGGGGUGUGCAGACUCCAGAUGAGCUCCCACGGCCCAAGCACUGUCAUAAACAAUAUAGCUGCUACGGCAUGCAACCCGAUCCCAAAACUGUCACUCAUAAGUAGGUUCCGCCUCACUCAAUCAUCACUCUCCGAUCUCAUCCAUGGGCUCACAAUGUCAUAGAAACUAGCCCGGAAACAUUGAUAUGCUUUGUCAAUAAUAACAACAGAGACUGAGAUAUAAUAUGAUAUGUAUGAAUACGAUUGAGUACAAAAUAACAGUGAAAUCAAUUAAAUGACAACAAGUAACGACCAAUAGGGGUCCCAACGGUAUCGGCGUGAAGUCCUAACAUGAUAUCUAGUAGUGUUUUGAAGCUCAAUUACUUUAUCCCACAAUGGAAACACAUAUAUCAACAAGAAGGAGUCCUUAAACGGUGCUAUGGAAUGAACUAGGUCACGAUUCUCAUGGUACACGGCCGCACGCCCGUCACUUGGCAUGUGCAUCACCUCAAUCUAACCAAAUAUCACGUAGUUCGGGGUUUCGAACCCUCAAAACUAAGUUUGAAAGCAUUACUUACCUCAAACCGAGUAAAAUACUACUCUGCAAUGACCUUGUCUCUCAACUCGGCCUCCGAACGCCUCGAAUCUAUCCACAAGCAAUACAACAUGAUCAAUAUAGGCUAAAGGAAUCAAUUCCAUAAGAAAAUACACAUUCAUAGCAAAAAUCCGAAAUCGGGUAAAAUCCAUUCCCGGGCCCACGUCUCGAAAUCCAAAAAAAUUAUAAAUCCCGAAAGCUCAUUUACUCACGAGUCUAACCAUACCAAGUUUACCAAAUCCGACCUUAUUUGGUCACUCAAAUCCUCAAAAUCCACUCUCCAAUUUUCAAGCCCUAAAUUCCCAGAUUUCACCUCAGCACUAUACAAUAUAGGUGGGAAAUACAAUGGAGAAACAAUAUUUAUGAUAAAAAAAAUGAGUACAAGAUGCUUGCCUCUAAAAUCCCUACGAAAAUCCUCUCUAAAAUCGCGUAAGCCCGAGUCCAAAAGGUGAAAAUGGUGAAAAAUCUCAAACUCUCUUUUUUAUAUGUUUCUGCCCAGCAAUACCGCACCUGCGGUCGAAAUGUCGCUUCUGCGACGCUGCACAUGUGAAAAAUAUAUCGUAGGUGCGGGUCGAACUUAAGUUCUCAGAGUCCGCAUAUGCGGUUAGCACACGUAUUGCGGGCCCCGGCCGCUUUUAUGGUCCUUUCCUUCCUCGCCCUUUUGUUCGAAUCUGUACUUCACCUCCGGUAUCUGCGCUUAAGCAGAUACGUACAAUUCAUCGCACCUGCGCUCCCAAACCAAACUACUCUUUCCCCAGUUGCGUACACCUCUUCGCUUCUGCGAUCCGCACGUGGGAGCUCCCCACCGCAGUUGCGGAAACACCAGAACCAGGCCACGUCAACAAUCUUUCAAACAUCAAUCUUGUUCCGUUAACCAUCCGAAAUCAACCUGAGGCCCUCGGGACCUCAACCAAACAUACCAACACGUCUAAUAAUAUCAUAUAAACUUAGUGGAACCUUCAAAUCACUCCAAACAAUAUCAAAACACCAACUUACACUUGGAUUCAAGCCUAAGACCCUCUAAAUUUUCGAAUCCACAAAAGAUGCCCAAACCUACCAAACCACGUCCGAAUGACCUCAAAUUUUACAUACAAGUCAGAAAGGACAUCAUGAACCUACCCCAGCUUCUGGAAAUCCAAUUUGACCCUGAUAUCAAAAUUCCCAUUGUUGACCAAAAUCGUCAAAUUUUUAAAUUUCGCCAAUUAAAGCUUAAUUCUACUACGAACCUCCAAAUCACAUUCCGGACGUACUCCUAAGUCCAAAAUACCUAAUAUAGCUAACAGAACCAUCAACAUUAAAAUUUGAGGUCGUUUAACAUAAGUCAACAUCCGAUCAACUCUUCCAACUAAAACCUUAUUAGAAGAGACUAAAUAUCUCAAUUCACUCCAAAACCACUCUGGAACCGAACCAACUAACUUGAUAAGUCAAAAUACAGUUGAAUAACACAAAAGAAGCAAGAAAUAAGGGAACAAGGCUAUAACUCUCGAAAUGACCAGCCCAGUCAUUACGUGCAGGUACAACAACAAAGACUAAAUGAACUUUACGUAUUCUAGGUGCUUUAAGAUCUUUAGGUGCUUUGGAUUUCGUAGAUGCCAUCUGUUAAAAAAAUUAAAGGUGGAAAAAUUAACUUCAUAACAUUAUCAAAAAGUCAAUAACAAUUCGACAUAAUUUGGCUUAAGUUGUAUUUUAAAGCCCUCUAACUUCAGAGAAAUAUAAAAUGAAAUGUCAGCUUUAAGAAUGCUGAAGUUCAGCAAAUAAGAACAAAAUUGCAGCUUUAAGAAUACUGAAAAAAGUUCAGCAAUUAUAGAACAAAAACUACUGCCAAAACAUUUUAUCGUUGUACAAAUACAAAACACAACUUCAACUCCAAUAAUGCUGAGUUCAUCAAAAAUAAAACAAAAACUGCAUACAAAACAUACUUUAUUUCUACAAAACACAAAACAAACUUCAGCUUAUAGAAUUAAGUUAUCCUUAAAGUAUUAUAAACUUCACACUUUAAUAGCAUCAUCUAUUUGAGUCUCAAAACUUUUAAAAAUUUCAAUGUCUCCAUCAAUCACUAAAGAAUAUGUAGAACUUUCAUAAAAAAUACAAAUACAGUUUCAAAAUACCUAAAAAUAAUAAUCCUAAAAGUAAAAUCUGCAAAACUAAUGCAUUAAUAAAAGUAAAAUCUAGAAAACUAUUUUAGCAUAAAUAAAAAAACGGGAUUCAACUAAGAUUACUAUCAACAAAACACCCAGAAAUUAAAUCAUAAAACAAAUCCUAAAUUAAAACCCCAUAUAAAGUUAAUGCAACAUACAAAAGAGACCAUUAAAAUUGUACCUGUAAUUAUACUUAAUUUUGUUAGAGAAGAAUCAAUUGCUAAUCAAGUAGAAUGAAAUAAUGAAAACUGUUUGAUUUCAGAAAAUAAUCAAAAAUUGUGAAGAAGGAUAAAGAUAGAAACAAGAGAUAAUAUAUUGUAUGCUUGGAGAGGAAGUAAUCUUUUAAUAAAGAAGGACAAAAUUGUCUUUUAAAAAUACUUUUAAUAAUAAAAUGGGGUAUGGAUACAAAUGAAAAAACAAAAUAAGUACAAGUUAAAAAAGACAAAUCAAAUAGGACGUUCCAUCCAAUUUUUACACUUGUACUAACUUGGACAUAGGAUUGUAUUGAUGGUAGGUCGAUAAAACCAACUAAUAAAUUGAAUAGAGCUAAUGGAUUAUAUACGGAGAGAUGUAAUAUAAAAUAGGGAAAAAGGAGAAGAGAGAAAAAAAGAAAAAGUAUGUACCUGAAUCCCUUAAUUUAUGAUAUUAGUAAUGGAUUGUAUAAAAUUAUAAGCAAUUUUUAUUUAGAACGGGUAACCUACAAAAUUAAAAUAAUUUUAGUAAAUAAGUUUUAAAUAUUGUAUAGAAACUAAAAAUCCUUUUCAAUAGUUCAUGAAUAAUUGAAUACAUAUAACCGGACUAAAAUUAUGGCGGCUUUGCCUUCGCAGGUUCGAAUCAGGCCGCACACGCUUCAGUAAACUUCAAUUUUCCUUUUUUUUAAAUAAUCUCCGUUUUUCUCUCUCGGAUCGUCUCAGAUUUCAGCUCUUGGAGCGGUUUCGUCCUUCGGUCAGUUAUGACCAACGAAAACGGUUCUGGUGCAAGUGGAAGUUGAGUACUUGUGCUUUUGGUCUCCCCUCGGCUGGGAUUUGGAGGGAUCUGUCGACAGAGCUCCACAAUCCCUGCAGUCUGAUGCCAUCAUAAACCCAAACCCUUUGCAACUUUCUACAUUUUGCUCAAUUUUAAUGGCAUCAACUAGCAAAAGGCCUAGCACAUCUGCGGAUGAUCUAGAAGAGGAGGUAUUUUUCCUGUGGCUGGUACAUUUGUUUUUGUAACUAUCAUUGUUAACAGCACUAUAAUAUUUGGUCGAAGAAAUUAUGAUGUCAGGCACAACAUCAGAGAGCUACAUAGUAUCAAGAUACUGUUAGAUCGACAAUAAUGUUGCAAGGCCUGUUCAGUUUUCUUAAAAGUACUUUACUAUUACAAACUAAGGGUGUGUUUGGUAUAACAACCGAAAAUGUAAGCACUUAGUAAUUUUAUUCAUUUUCUGGUCUUUGGUACACAAAUGAAGUAAAAUAACUUUUUAAGAGUAUUCAUAAAUAUUUAGAUACAAUAAGUAUGAAGUCAUAAACUUACGAACAACAACCUUCGGAGCCUGCAAAUUUUAUAAACUUUCGAACCGCUAAACUUUUAAAACCACAAACUUUUAAACCCGUAAACUCUAUAAUCUUUAAACCUGAAAACUUCCAAACACAUAAACCUUCAAACUCAUAACUUUGGAACCUGUAAAAUUUCGAACCUGUAAAUCGAAAGAUGAAAAAACUAAAACUGAAAAUAUAUAUAAAAAAUAUUUUCUUUUUUUUUUGGGGUUUGGGGUGGGAGGGGGGUUUGGGGAUAGUAGGGUGGGUGGUGACGGAAUAUAGAAAUUGAAAUUUGAAAGAAAAGGCUUUUUGGAGAGAGGUGUGGUCACAUAGGUGUAGGCUGGGUUGGUGAGGGUGGAGAAUAGGGUGGGAAGGUUGAGAAGAAUUUUGGAAAAUAUUUUUCCUUUUCUUGAUAAGGAAAACAUUUUCCUCCAAUUGGAGGAAAUGAGUUAAUAAAGAAAAUAUUUUUCAAAACAUUUAAGCUAAUCAAACAUGGGAAAUUAGAAAAUAUUUUCCGAAAAAUAUUUUCCUUCAUACCAGACAGACCCUAAAUCAUCUAUUCAGCCAAAGGCUUACACUCAAUUGAAAUACAAACGCAAAUAAAAUAAACACCAAAUAAAUGCAACUCAGAACUUGUAGAUUACAUGGUAGAUCGAGAUUUCUGAACUUCAAACUAGGCGUUUCUACGAUUUCAGAAAUUUUCAUGAGAGCUUCUGUUGUGGUCGUAAUGUUGUUGAAGUUUUGUCUUUGUAAAGCUCACUUUUAUAUCCUUCUCAAAUAUAAUAAUUCUGGUUGUCCUUGUGGUUGUAGCGGCAUGCAACCUACAACAACACUAUCAGUAUUUACAAAUGUAUUUGAAGACAAAUUCUGUUUGUCUUUGUGGUUGUAGCGGCAACCCAAAUGUUUUUGAAGACAGAUCACAAACGAACAUGUAAAUAUGAGAAACACUAUAAAAAAAUAUUGUAUUUCAAAUCAUUUCUCCUACAAAUCAUGACAAUUCUUGAUCAUAGCCAUGAUACUCCUCCAAGACUCACGACAGUAAUCUCAUUUCAUACUCAUGCCAUUACAAAUUUGUAAUGGUUGUGUUGUAUGCUCCGAAAACCAUAGAGGUUUGAGCUUCCUUGAGGUUAUCACCUUCUUUGCACGUCUCUCUCUCUCUUUCCUUAUACAAUAAUCAAAGCAUGUUGAACAAAGUUUAAGAAAGCUGGACUGAAGAGAUUAUCAAUCAACAAAACAAAAUCAACAAAAAGUGGAAAAAGAGGUCAAUGAGAGACUGUGAAUCUGUUUUAAAGGCUAUUAUGCUUAUACAUAAUAAUUUUGGAUCCAAUGGUCGGUGCACUAUUUUCAGUCUGUAAAAUAUCCUACAGUUCUUCUAUUUGCUCUACUUUAGCUUCCACAAUAUCUGAAAUUUGACAAAACAUUCCGAAAACAAAAGAGACAAAGAAUUCAAGUCCCACAAAUCAGAACAAAGGAUGUCAACAAGAACAUCAAAUAUGCAAAUAAAAUAUCCUUUAUGUGCAAGGAGAAAACGAAGAACGACAAGUCAUUAAAGACAUCUUUUGUGUUAGCCAAAUAAACAAACACAUACCUUUUUUAAGUAAGCUAAUAUCAAAGAACUUCCACUUAUUCAUGUGACUGAAGCUCGUCGUUAGUAGGCAAAAGCCCUUGACUUCAAACCAAUCAAUCAGGACUGACGCCAUCUUCGCUUCUUCUGAUUAUUGAAAGUGACGUUAAAGCUUUGAAGCUGAUCUUCAAGCAUUCCUUUCUAGUUUCCUCUAAAGUCAACUAAUCAAAUAUAAUUUUUGUUCCCAAAUGCUCCAAAAAAGAAUCUGACAACAGUGCUAGGCAAUAGGGCACUAAAACUCUCCAUAUAACAUACAAAGAGAAUGACACCUAUUUCCAAGAAAGAAAAGUCUCGUUAUUUCUAACAACAACAACAACUACUACCCAGUAUAGUCCCAUAAAGUGGGGUCUGGGGAGGGUAAUAUGNNNNNNNNNNNNNNNNNNNNNNNNNNNNNNNNNNNNNNNNNNNNNNNNNNNNNNNNNNNNNNNNNNNNNNNNNNNNNNNNNNNNNNNNNNNNNNNNNNNNNNNNNNNNNNNNNNNNNNNNNNNNNNNNNNNNNNNNNNNNNNNNNNNNNNNNNNNNNNNNNNNNNNNNNNNNNNNNNNNNNNNNNNNNNNNNNNNNNNNNNNNNNNNNNNNNNNNNNNNNNNNNNNNNNNNNNNNNNNNNNNNNNNNNNNNNNNNNNNNNNNNNNNNNNNNNNNNNNNNNNNNNNNNNNNNNNNNNNNGAGACACACUCCAAAACACAAAUCAUCUAAGGAUAGCCCUGCCAAGCCUCACCCAACCCCGGGUGAGGAGUACAAAAAACUCUAGGAGCCCCUAGCCUACAACCUUGAUACUAGACCUCCAAACUCUCCUGUCAAGGGUCAUGUCCUUGGAAACCUGCAUUCUAGCCAUGUCAUGCCCAAUCAUCUCUCCCCAAUACCUCUUAGGCUUCCCUCUGCCUCGCCGAACGCCGACAAUCGCCAGCCGCUCACAACUCCUCAUCGGGGCAUUAGGACUUCUCCUCCCCACAUGCCUGAACCACCUCAGCCUCGCUUCUCGCAUCUUCUCAUCCACCGGGGUCACCCCCACCUUAUCUCGAAUAACUUCAUUCUUAAUCUUAUCUAACCUGGUGAGCCCGCACAUGUAUCCUGGUGAGCCCGCACAUCCACCUGGGCAUCCUCAUCUUCGCAACCUAAUGAACAUGAGAGUUCUUCACCGGCCAGCACUCCGCCCCAUACAACAUGGCAGAUCUAACCACAGCUUUAUAAAAUUUUCCCUUGAGUUUCUGUGGCACUCUUUUGUCACACAGGACUCCUGAUGCACGCCUCCACUUCGACCACCCCGCUCCUAUACGAUAAAUGACAUCCCCGUCAAUCUCUCCGUCCCCCUGAAUCACCGACCCAAGAUAUCUAAAACUGUCCCUCUUGGCGAUGACCUGAGAUCCAAUCUUCACGUCCCUUCCUACAUCGAUCGGCUCGGCGCUAAACUUGCACUCCAGGUAUUCAGUCUUAGAUCUGCUUAUUUUGAAACCCUUACACUCGAGAGUCUGUCUCCAUACCUCUAAUCUAAAAUUCUAUUGUGAAUAUUAACUUAUCUUUUCAUCAAUCUUCUUAAUAUAUGAUAUGUACUCAAAUAGGUUAGCAGACACAUUUCAUCUAAACAAUACUACUCAUAAAGUGAUAUGUACAAGUAUUCUUUGUUCAAAAGAAUGAAAAGUUCUUUACUAAAAAAAAAGAAUGAAAAGUUCUACCAACUGUUAGCAAUAACUACUGCACCCAAUUUUUCUUGCAGCUUGAUUGAACAUUAAGCAUACCUUGCUAUAGCAAAUUACAAAAGGUAACAAUAUCUUUGCCAUAAAAAGAAGUCCCCGCCCUUCUGUUCUUAUUAUAGAAAUUAAAUAAGUUAAAGCUUGAUGCAAAGCUCAGUACAUGGAAAUUAGUUAUUCCACUCUUGAGAUAUCAAUCAAGAAACAGGAACAUUGUACACUGAUUUUUCAAGUCAGCUAAUAUCAAAUAACCCCCAUGAUAUUAGUAGGACAGUUUCUUAUGUAUUCUAUGGUCGUGCAUCCUUAUUGUGAGAAACAUGUGUGCCUUGUUGUGCCACUUGAAAUAAGAUUACUUGUGGAAUGUUUGUUGGCAUAUUUUUAAGUCACUCUGGAUAGGUUGUGGCAGCUAAAUUCAUGAUUUAUGAUUUCCAAAAUAAAGUUUGACGAUUAAUGUUGACGAGGGGACUCUACUUCUUUGCUACGGGAUCAAGGGUCACUUCGCUGGAAGUAAUAGACAGAGACAACCCUAGUUGUAGCCAAAACUAUAAUUUUUGACCAGAUUUUAGCUCAGUACAAAGUGAUCCUUAUAUGAAUAUAUAUGUUGAGAGCAUAUGACAGCGUACAGAGAAAUUACUCUCCCGAAUAAGUACUCCAAAAACAACUGACAAGAGAUCCCAUCUUGCACGCAAUUUAGUUGGAUAAUGGAAAUUAUAAAAGAAUAAGACAAAAAUGAAAGAGCUACCAACGCAAUUCAAGAAUUGACUUAAAAACUAAGGUGUUAAAUAGCCGUCAAGGCGUCAAAAAACCACCACUGUUUUUUUUUUCUUCCUUUUGAUAGCUAAAGACAAUCACACAGUUAAUAAACCCUCAUCCAUGCAAAUCAUUAAGAUAUAUGAGAAAAAAACACAUAAAAAAGUGAAAAUUUUCAUCAAAUGCGAAGAGUCUAAAAUAAGUGGCAAAGACAGAGUGGUGACAUUCAUCGAGAGAGCAACUUCACCAGAAAAUGAAAUGUUAUUGAAAUAAAUUGAUGAAGCAUCCCUCAAGCAAGGGACGAAAAUAUCAGAAGGCAGAUUCGGGGUUUCAACUAAUUCCUUGUUAUUCUAUUCCAAGGCAAUUAAGAAAGCAAUUUUGUAGAUUCAAUGUCAAUAUCAAAUAACAUAAGUGUUGUAUGAAAACUAUUUUCAGCUUGGUAUCAACAUACAAAGUUAAUAAUCACUCAGAAAUUCAACUAUCCACCGAAAGGAAAAUUCAUACCUAGAUGGAAAAAUCACUUUUAAAUAGACCCGAAAGAGGAAAAAAAGAAAAGAAAAAUACCUAGCAUCCAAAUAGUAUAACCCAGCAAGCACCCAAAAGAAGAAAAAAUGAAGUUGAGAUAGUAAUCAAAAGUGUCAGAAAAAAUCUUACCUUAUGGAGUUAGUGGAGAAGCAACAAAUAUCGUUUUUGGAAUUGAAAGAGGAAGAAGGAAAAUCUCCAAAGCAGUAUUAAUCUUACGGUUCAGUACUACAGAGCAAGCGAACACGGGUUGUAGGAAGAGGAGAGAAGCUUUGUUCGUUCGCUGUCCGGUCAAAUGACUAACUCAAAAUGUGCUUCUCUAUGCUACAUGACUGUUUUGCGGGAGAAUGAUAAAUGGGUCUACUUUAGUAGAUGAAAAGUCUAAUAUGUCCCUAAUUUCAAAUUUAUUGACAGAAAAGCAGACAUGUCGAAACUUAAGCUCUUCUAUAUAAUAUAAUAUAUAAAUUAUUGUUCUUCUUUAUUCCUCUUAUCGCCACAUCCAAGGAGAGGUGCCGUGGUGCAUGUUAUUUGCAGAUGAUAUUGUUUUGAUUGACGAGACGCGAGACGAUGUUGACACGAGGUUAGAGGUGUGGAGACAAACCCCGGAGUCUAAAGGUUUCAAGCUAAGCAGAACCAAGAUAAAAUACUUGGAGUUUAAGUUUAGUGGUGCUACUCAGGGAGUUGAAGUGGAAGUGAGUCUGGAUUCACAAGUCAUCCCUAGGAGGGAAAGUUUUAAGUAUCUUGGGUCUAUUAUACUAGGGGAUGGGGAGAUUGAUGAAGAUGUCACACAUCGUAUUGGGGCAGGAUGGAUGAAGUGGAGGCUUACUUCCAGUGUUUUGUGUGACAAGAAGGUACCACCAAAACUUAAAUGUAUGUUUUACAGAGCGGUGUUUAGACCGGCUAUGUUGUAUGGGACAGAGUGUUAGCUAGUCAAGAGCUUCAAUGUCCAGAAAAUGAAGGUAGCAGAGAUGAGGAUGUUGAGAUGGAUGUGCGCGCACACCAGAUUAGAUAAGGUUAGGAAUGAAGUUAUUAGGGAUAAGGUGGGUGUGAUCCCUAUUGAGGACAAGAUGCGGGAAACAUGACUUACAUGGUUUGGACAUCUGAGGAGGAGAAGCACAGAUGCCCCAGUAAGGAGGUGUGAGAGGUUAACAUUGGAGGGCCUCAAGAGAGGUAGAUGUAGGCCGAAGAAGAGUUGGUGUGAGGUGAUUAGGCAUGACAUGGUGCAGCCACAGCUGACUGGGGACAUGACCCGUAAUAGGAAGGUGUGGAGGUCGAAGAUUAGGAUAGUAAGUUAGAUAGUCUAAAUUAUUAAUAUCGGUAGUGUUAGUACGUACUCUCGCAUUAACUUUUUGUAUUUCGAUCAUCUUACUAUCUUGUUAUGUAUGCUGCUUUUACAUGGAUUUUUUUUGGUGUUGUCCCGUCUUGUUUCUUGUUAUUAUUGGGGAAUCUAUGCUUGCCUAAGCCGAUGGUCUAUUGGAAACAACCCCUCUACCUCCACAAAGGGGGUAAGAUCUGCGUACAUUACUCUCCCAGACCCUACUAUGUGCGAUUAUAUUAGGUGUGUUGUUGUUGUUGUUUCCUCUCACCUAAAAGCUCAAUUCAUUUCAAUUUCACGCCCGUUUUCUUUGUAAUUUGAAGCUAUCAAGGAGAAGCGGAUGAAAUCAAUAGUUUGGUAUUCGUAUUAUGUAGCUAAAUAUCACCUUCUAAAUCACGUGAAAAUUGUUUUAUGCUUUAACAGUUAACAAGAAACAUUAUGAAACAUUACUGUCUAAGAACUCGCAAAUUGAACUAAGAGGGAAGAAAUUAAGUGAGUAGUUUUUUCUUUCUUCCUAUUUAGACUUUCGGAUUUGCUCUUUGUUCAAAGCACAUGAAUUAUAACUGGCCUGGUGGAUGGUGGUUCUCAUAUUUCUUAUUGUUGUUUCAUAUGCAGUUUGAACAUUUUGAUGAUUUCACCCUUGCCUCUUCUUGGGAAAGGUAUUUUUUUUUCAACCAUAGCAACUCACUGCAUUUUCUUAUGGUAUCCUCAACUUAUGUGCAGCGUUUUAGUAUCAUAGGAGCUGAAGAAACUAAAGUUACUAAUAUUCUAUAUAACAGGUUCAUUUCUGAGAUAGAGGCAGUAUGCAGGAAAUGGUUGGCUGAUGGCACGAAGAAUUUGUUGGUAUGAAUGCUUUGUUUAUUCACCUCAUCUUUACCGGAAAAGAACUUGUGAUUUCAUUAUGCCCAAUGGAAAUGAUUAUUUUACACAUUGACUAAAAAUUUAUCAUUUUGACUGUGUGUUUGACUGACAACUGACUUUCAUUUCGUACAUUUGACGGAAAGAGGUCAAGAUUUGGUUGAAAAUACUAUAUCUUAGUUUGCUAUUACCAGAAGUAGAAUUUCUUGCUCUGUCCAUCUUUCAAGAGAGUGUGAUGGCUGUAUUUGAAUGUUGAUACCAUAUUUAGUAGCGUGGUCCUCAAAUAAACCUGAUAAGGGACUGGUUUUGAUUUUCCAUUUGAAAGAUUGAGUUAUAAGUCGAAUAAUAGGUGUGGCGGAUACUUGAGUGAAAGUUUAGGUCGUUCCCCAAAGAUUUGUUGCUAGCCUGUCUUUUGGAAAGGCUAUUUAAAAAGAAUUUGAGCUUCAACCUCAACCUAUACCUAUAAAGAAGUGCGAGGUGUGAUCGUUCAUCAUUGUUGAAGUGCGAAACCUAAGUGAAUGUCAACAAGGUCGAAGCACUUGCCAUUACUUUUGAAGGAGUAAUGGCUCCCUAAAAUCAUCUGCUUUUAGUUUUGUCCUAUACUUAUAAGAUGCUGGAAUAGUUUAUUAGAUGUUUCAGGUUUAUCAUCUAUAAUGUUUGUAAUAUUUAUGAUUUUUUCGGGGAACUAAUAUAUAGUCACUAGCUAUUCCACUUAUCAAAAAUAAAUUAUUAGCCAACAUGGUAUGUGGUUUUUUGUGGGAUAAUUUGCUGUUUAUAGAUUCUGUGACAAUGGUUUUAUUUCUGUCAACGAGUGGUUCCUUUAGAGGGAAAAAAACAAGUAGUUCCUGGACGGUUUAUUUCUUUGAGUGGAAUCUUUUGGUCAAAGUAUGAAAGAAAAGAUUCUCUUAUUGCUUGUCUUGAUUCCUUGCUUCUAUUUUUUGGCAAAUUAUGUGAUGGUAGAAAAAGGACGCUAUCUGCUUGAAUAUCUCUGAGGGCCUAUAUAAGGUCAAAGCUGACCUGAAGUAUGAGAUGAAAAGCUAUUGCAUGGAGUACUAUUUUGGAACACUUAAUGAUGGUACGUAAAUAAGUCUACUUUGAAAUUAAAACUGAAAAUAUGUUUUUUCUUUUUUCUCGGGACUGCCUAACAAAUAUCCAAAAAUUUAGUUGUGCCAGGAAAAGGAAAUGACUGGAGUUGUGUACUGCAUGAUCUGCAGCUGUUUUUUGGGGUGAAUGAGUUCCUGGUAUCUCUAUCACUUAUAAAAAAAAAGUUUAUGGUAUCUCUAUCUCUUCCCCUAACACGUGGCACAAAGAGGAUGAUACAUCUGUUGUAUGUUUAGCACCUUGAUAUGGGUUAUUAUGUUUAACUUUCUUUUCCAAAAUUGAAUGCAUGUCUCUAGGUGAUUGCUCCUCAAAGUGCCAGCGGUGUGGUUCUUGAUGGACCAGAGGCCAGCAAACUUCUAAGUGCAGUUGCUAUUGCCUUGUCCAACUGUUCCAGGUCUGGUUGUCAGUUGCAAACUUCUUUUUAUAUCAACCUGUAGGAUCUAUAUCUUUAGUAAUUGAACCGAAGUACUAAUCUUCUUCAAAAUCACUCAAAGGAUUAAUCUGUCUUUUUCAAAAUCAAAGUGAGAUUUUGAUGGUGAUCUAACAUGCUUUGUCAAGGGUUCUCCUCAUAGAAGCUAGCUAACCUUGCUCAAUUUUAAGCAAAAUCUUGUUAGAAAUAAAUGGGCCCUAAAUGAAAGAGAAGUUGACAGAUUAUCCAUUAUUGAAAGAACAACAUAUAAUUUGUGACAUAUUGUAAUGUGAAGUAUAUAAAGUUGGUUAUUCAGAAUCAUAGAAGCUGAGAAAUUGAGAAAGAUGUGAAGAUAAUGGCUACGUAUUUUAUUUUCAUACAUCCAGGGCUUUGGUCUAUUGGUAGAGCGCAAUGCGUGAUAUGUGGAUUAGGUGCACGUCAUGGUUUGAAAUGUGCCACAGACAAAGUCCUGUGAUGAAUGGUAGAUGGGUGAGCCCAUUAUCCAUUUAGUUUCGAAGCGUGCGCCAGCUUGCCCUUGGGAUUUCUCGGUUGUUCCAAAAAAAAAAAGAAGAAAUCUUUCAUCCUUCGGCAAGCAGCAUGGCACAUUAGCACUAAUGUUACAAGAGUCCUUGAAUUUCUUUAGAUUUCCUUCUGCAAAAGGCCAAUAUAACUGAAUGGAGAACAGUCGGCAUAUUUUGGAAGCUCUGUAAAUUGCAAGGAUAGGUUUUUUGUUUCUUUUAUUUUGCUCUUCUCUGUACAUAUGAUUUUGUCACUGUUUUUAUGCAUUGAUAUAUAAAAGUUGUUACAUUCUAAAAAAAAAAAAGAAGAAAAGUCAGCACAAUGUCUAUAUCACUUGAAACUUUUACUAAGAAAUAUGUAACAUUCACCCGUUGGCAAGAGAAGCAUCCUGCCACUUCUAUAAAAAAAAUGAACUUUUGCAAAUAUGUAGGAGUUAGCUACACCCCUGUAAUUGAAAUCUGUAGAUAUAACAAGCACGACCACUGAAAGUAACCACCUUGUUGAAGCUAAGGUAUAAAUCUCUACCAUAUUAAGCUGACGUCUGUGGAAUUUCUGAUGUGCUGCUCUAAAGUAGAGAUCAUACUUGUAUUUGGCUUCUUCAGUAGAUGGUGAUGCUCAUCUCUAUGUAUAUUACAUUUC